CUGCCCAGUAGUGGGGAACAACUCCGAGAAAUCGGAGCUAAUACCGCAUACGGUCUGUGUUGAGGAACACGAGACUAAAGCCUCUCUUCGGAGUGGCGCUAUUGGAGGAACCUGCGGCUGAUUAGCUAGUUGGUGGGGUAAAGGCCUACCAAGGCGAUGAUCAGUAGCUGGUCUGAGAGGAUGGACAGCCACACUGGGACUGAGAUACGGCCCAG
rnacentral:rRNA from 1 species